GUGAAGGCCUCGUAUGGAAAGCUACUGUGUGAAGCUCCUGUGGAGAGAGGCCAAUGUGUAUUCUCAUCAAAACAAAGAACCUCUUUUUGUCAUAACCAAGGAAGAAGAAAUUUAUAUCGGAUGCCAUGAUGGGAA
rnacentral:lncRNA from 11 species